rnacentral:rRNA from 1 species
GAUGAACGCUGGCGGCGUGCCUAAUACAUGCAAGUCGAGCGAACAGAUGAGGAGCUUGCUCCUCUGACGUUAGCGGCGGACGGGUGAGUAACACGUGGAUAACCUACCUAUAAGACUGGGAUAACUUCGGGAAACCGGAGCUAAUACCGGAUAAUAUAUUGAACCGCAUGGUUCAAUAGUGAAAGACGGUUUUGCUGUCACUUAUAGAUGGAUCCGCGCCGCAUUAGCUAGUUGGUAAGGUAACGGCUUACCAAGGCAACGAUGCGUAGCCGACCUGAGAGGGUGAUCGGCCACCCUGGAACUGAGACACGGUCCAGGCUCCUGCGGGAGGCAGCAGUAGGGAAUCUUCCGCAAUGGGCGAAAGCCUGACGGAGCAACGCCGCGUGAGUGAUGAAGGUCUUCGGAUCGUAAAACUCUGUUAUUAGGGAAGAACAAAUGUGUAAGUAACUAUGCACGUCUUGACGGUACCUAAUCAGAAAGCCACGGCUAACUACGUG